UUAAGCCGGAGGAAGGUGGGGAGUGACGUCAAGUCCUCAUGGCCUUUAUGCCCAGGGCUACACACGUGCUACAAUGGGUGGUACAAAGAGAUGCCAACUCGCGAGAGCGCGCCAAUCUCAGAAAGCCAUUCUCAGUUCGGAUUGGAGUCUGCAACUCGACUCCAUGAAGUUGGAAUCGCUAGUAAUCGCGGAUCAGCACGCCCGCGGUCCGAAUACGUUCCGGGCCUU
rnacentral:rRNA from 1 species